GUGCGGUUGGCGGGCUGUUCAAACGGGAGCGCGGCUGUUGCACGCGUGCAGUUGUUGCGCUGUGUGGAGUCGUGUUUUUCUCAGCGUGUGCUGCAGAGCUGGGCCUGUACCCAGAGCGGUCCUGAGUGCUUUUAGAAACCUUUUUUAAUGCCCGUCAUCUAUGCUAAACACCUCCGACAUCAAUAAUUAAUGCAGAGGGCUGAAGAGAGGGACCUUACGACUGCAAAUGGAAUAAAAGGUACAAGGCUGGCUUCCUUUGCUUUCACUUGUGCCCAUGAAAGAAGGUACCUGAGAUAGGAGGGAUUCAUUUUCUUCUGGAGCCGCCUGUUGCUUUCCUCUGGCUAUGCAGAAAUGCUCAGCAUUUGGGUGGGAGUCAGCCCAUAGAGCCUCAAGCACUAGCCCAGCUGUGAGCAAGAUUUCUGUCUUGGGUACGCACUACGUUUCCACCAGAAUGAAGCAGCUCAUGAUGAUAUUUAAUGAAGGUUUGGUGAAAGAGUGCAACAAAGGAGAUGAGACCUGUUUAAAGGCAGACCAGAUGAGGAUCUUCUGAGUGUCUCGUGGGAAAGGACCCUGAAGAUCAGCACUGUAUAUAUAUAUGGAACUCCUUCCCCGUCUCUCACACCUGACACACUGAGAGAGCAUCCGACUGCACCUCCAAACUCAUUCACGUGGGCAAAGAGGAGCCUCGAAGACACCUUGCCAAGAUAUCAGACUGCCUGCUUCAAAUUCCUUACGAGAUGGAGAUUGCUGUUUAGGGAACAGCCAACUUCAGCUCCCUCUGUACCAGUGGUCUGUACCCCCUCGCCCCAGCAGUGUAAUUGGAGGCUUAUUUCUUUCUGAUGAAGCUAUGUGCAUGUCUGCAGAUACAGAUGCCCAAAGAGAGUGAUCUGUUAGCUGCAAAAUUGUUCCGAUGGGACAUUAGAGUCAAGUAAGGUGGUGGAUUUUGGUGUUACUGUUGCUGGAAUUUAGGAAAAAGCAUUCAUCACGUUUUGAAGAACCUGCCUCAGAUGAUGUUUCUUCCCUUAAGCAUCAAUAUUGCAGAGCAAAGCUGGACAAACUGCUGCUGAAUGUUGGUAUGUGGGCUCUGCAACUGCAUGAGGCACUUCAGAUAGAUCCCACCCUGAGUCAUCUGUAAAAUAUGUACUGACAUCUCAGCUAGCCACAUUGACUCCUUUUAUAGCCAAAGGAUAGAUUAGUCAUCCACUGUUUCUGACAUCUGAGGAUGAGCUGUUUCUGUUGAGGAAUUAAAAAGCCUUGAUGCCUGGCUCAGCUAUUCACAUCCACACUCUGGACACCUAGAAUGUGAGAAGACAAAUCUCAUGCUGGACUGAUAUAUUUUGCCCAAAUGUAUAUGCCCUCAGUGUUGACAUCUCUAUCUGAACAAGCAAUCUGGAAUCCCUUAAUAGUUAAUGGAGAAAAACCAGCACUCACAAGACACAAUUCAUCACAGUGCAAGGGAAAUGUGCGAAAAUGGGUUAGACAAUCAGGCAGGAAAUGUUUGCCUCUCGCCAUAGAGCAUAAAGAGUGGGGACAUCUCUUUCAAGCAGUGACAUCAUCAUCACAGAUCCCUGAAGUUAAUGGAGAUGAAUUCACUCUGUGCCUUGGUUUCUGAUCUAUUAAAAUGAGGAUGGACAUAGUGUUUGUAUAGGAGAUAAAGACAAGGUAGGAGCCAAGCCUAGUUGAUGAACGUGUUCUGCAUUGGAGGAAGGACUGAAAGAAGAGAGUUGUAUUUCCAGAAGAACUUAGCAGUGGUACGAGCCACAGAUAUGGAGACUGAUGGUCCACUUGUGUAAGAGAUGAGAUGUUCUUCUCAAUUACAGCAGCUUCCACAGACAUACAAGGGUUCUUCCUACAGCUCGGGGUGACCAAACUUUGGACAUAUACAAAGAAGGGGUAAAGUCCUCUACAAGGUCACUUCUCAUUCCAUGUUGGUUUGGUCUCUGUCUGCAGGAGGUGCUGGGAACACAGAAUAAAUGGCCAAAGUCCCAUUGCAGUUAGUAGCAUCAGCUUUUUCAGCAAUGUUCCUGCCAGAAUAUGUUUCUCAGGGAGGUGAAGGAAGAUCAAUUUUGCACAAAGAAGAGAUUCUUCCAAAGUUUUAAAAACUUGAGUGGGAGGCAAUCAAAGGGUCUGCUGACAGCAAAGGCUGCUGGAAAUGAAAAUGAAAAUGUCAGUGAGGUUUAUAUACUGGCACUUGGCCAGAGCUGGACUGAAUUAACUGAGCCAGGACAACACUAAACACGAUGUACUAAUAGGCUCUCAGAGUAUAUAUCAGACAGAUGAAAGCAAUUGUCCCUUGACCUUCUGCACCACAAUUCACCUAUGGCAUUUGCAAUAGCCCGCUAAUAAACGUUUGGGAGAAAGAUUAUUGCUACCUUGGCAAAACUGCUUUACUCUAUCCAGAGCUCUUUACAAACUCAACAACAGUUGACUUCUCUUGAUAAAACCCAGGUAAAGCUUCUCCGUGCUGAAGAAAUCACCCUCCAUGUGAGCCAUCUAAACAACAGACACCCUGCUAACUCAAUAGGCUAUUGUGACAGCUGGUGGGGUAAAAUCAGGUGAAUUCUGAACCUAUGUCUGGUCUGUCCCCUGAAGGUUAACUGCUGGACACAACACAGAGGAGAUGUAAGCAGUCAAGAGGUAAAUCUGGGAUUGUUUUUCUAUUUGUGCAAAUCCCAGACCUACCCUUCAAGGCCUGCAGCGAGUACUGUGUUUCAGCUGAUGUUUUAUUGACUGCUCACAGCUCAGUGCCAUUUCUCCAUUGCUCCCUAGGGAACUGUCAGUGAUUUCCAGGUCUUCACUGAUGAUGGAAGACCUGUUCAGAAUCACUUAUGGGAAUGUGAGGCAGAACUUCUUUUUAAGCACACAUGACCCAACAGUCUGCAUUUACUGCUUCUUUUGAUGCUUGUUAGUUUGACAUCAUCUGUUGGAGCAUCUUUGCAGUUAAUAUCAACAGAGUACAUUUGGAGUGAAUUCAAAAAUAGCAACGGGUAUGAUAUAUUCUUAUAGUGAGGAUGUCAAGAAACUCAAAGACAGUCUGUAAGAACUGCAUGUUUGAAAAAGAUGUGGUCCUUAUUCAUCCUAAUCCACUAUCUAUCUACUAUCCCUAUCUACUCAGCUCUUGUGAGGCUCCAUCUGCAGUGCUGUGUCCAGACCUGGGACCCCCAGUACAGGUGCAUUUUUUGAAGGCCAGAAGGAAAUAUAGACAGCACCUAACCUGACCUCCAGCAUAACACUGGACAUAGAAACCUACCCUACAAACUCUGUGCUGCUCCUUCAGCUAGAGACAUGAAGAAACAUCCAUCCUUCCCUUCAUUUUCUGCAGUAAGCAUCUACCGUGCUACUAAGCAAGGCAUGACGGCUUGUUUUGCUGCUUGUAACGAAGAAAGUCUUUGCUCUUGAGAUCGAGUUCAACAUUUCUCAUUCCUCCUGCUGGAACUUUCCAAUCAAUACCAAAUGAGAAAUUUUAUGUGAUGAGGAUUUUUCUUCCAAUGUGACAUUUUGAUUUGCAAUUGCCAACAUUUGAACAUGCUUAUUCUUCCCUUUAAGACAGUGUAAGACGUUUAAGAAGUAUACAGCAACAACGGGUCCCAUGGAGCCCAGCAGAGAUGCACUUUGCAACCGCUGUAUUUCUGACAAAAAGAGGCUGCUUCAGAUAUAAAGAAGUACAGCAAUUCGGAAGGCUGCAGAUGGCAAUGUGCUGAAUACACAAAGGAUUGAAGUUUGGUAGGGUUAUUUCAUUUUCACACGCAAUGUUUUAAUGAUGGUGCACUUAAAACUGCCCGAGUUAAAAUAGGAUCCAUAAUGCUCUUUAAAGGCCUUUUUCUGCCGUCUCACAUUCACCUAGAUUUCUCAGGUGCUUUAAAAAAGUCAAAAAUGAAGACAACUUGAUUGUGUAAACUUAAUGAAGCCAGCACAGCCACACGAGCAGCGCUGCAGGGUCUGGGUCCAUUGCAUCUCAGCUGCAGAGCAACACACAUUUAGAUAGAAACAUCCAGUUAAAACACUGCUGUACAAAGCAUUUUACAGCCUUUACAUGGAUUCCAAUUCAUCUCAGCCUGAAAAGCUCUUGAGUCUGUAUCAGAGGUGAACAAGGGAGCUUUUUAAAUUAACAGCCGUUUAAGACUGGAAGUCAGUGAGACGAUAUGUGAUGUGCCAAGAUAGAAAAGACCUCAGUCGUAAUGCUGUAUCCAGUUCACAGAAGGCUGCUGAGGCACCCUCAUGUAAUUCUUUUCUGGUAAAUAAAUUGUGUGGGAUCAUCUCAGGUAUUUUUCCACCUCCUGUGACUGUGAGCUUCCAGACUUUUGAUCUCUGAUGCCUUUAUUUCAGCUCAGCAGCUGUGUUAGGGAAGUGUAAGCACACACGCAAGCACACCAAGACUUCAGUCCAGAUGGCUUUGAGUGUGGACACCUCCUGCAGCACCAAGAUUUACAGGAGGUUGCAAUGCCAGGAUACGGAGACAUCACACAGCAAGAGAAGGCACAAUGUAUGUAUCUCAGAGCUUAUCCUUUCCCCACUGGCUGCCAGCAUGGAUGAAGCACUCAAUAACCCUUGCCACAAGUCACCUCGUGGGCAAGAGCAAUUCUCAUGAUCAGAAGUAGCAAGAGCCAGGGAAGCCUCCAAUCUCCUUCAGAUCUUCAUAGACCUAGCACUCUACAAUAGGCACAGAGAAGCAUGAAUUGCCUGAGAGGACUCCUGAGCUUUUCUUUCCCCUUUUUAGCACCAAGGCACAGAAGGGAACCUAUCUGAAUUUCACUUAGACAAGUAUAUAAACAACAGUCUCCAACAGCUACUCAAUCAGGAGAAUGCAAUCCACAAUCUCAGUUAUUCCUAUCCUUCUCUCUCUGGUCUAUGCUGUGGAGCAUGCAACCCCCCAUAGUGCUGCUCUGUGGCUCUGAGCCUUUACACGAAUGCAGAUGCAGGAACCCAGGCAUGCUCCAGGUCCAGGCACUCCCAAUGCCACCCUUGUAUGGCCCAGGGACGUCAUGAAGUCACCACCCCUGGAAGCGUUCAAGAAGAAUCUAGAUGUUUUAUUGAGGGACCUGGUUUAAUGGGAAGUAUCAGUGAUAGGUGGAUGGUUGGACUUGGAUGAUCUUGGAAGUCUUUUCCAACCUUGGUGAUUCUGUGAGUCUAUGAUGAGGGAGGGUUGGCCAUCUCAAAGUAGGGUUGGCUGUCUCCAUGAGGUGGAGUCACCGGCCCAGGAGGUGUUCAAGAAACAUUCAGAUGUUGUACGGGGGGACAUGGUGUAGUGGGAAAUAUUGGUUAUGGGUGGAUGGUUGGACUGGAUGAUCUCAGAGGUCUUUUCCAGCCUUGGUGAUUCUAUGAAGGAGCCUUAAACCUUACAAGAACAAGUUGCAGACAAUCACAAGUUGCGACUGGGUUGAAAAAGGAGAACUUUUCCUACACCAGAAUGGUGCCUCUGACUGAUCGGAGCAACUUGUUUUAUGGCUUUUGUUCUUUACUGUUUUGGACAGAAAAAAAAUGGUGGAUGUUUUAAUUGCUGCUGCAGUGGCAAUUGUAACAGUGAUGUGUCACUUUUAGAUUCACUGCUUAAAGCCACACUAGAUGACACCAGCAAUUUCUUGUGCAAUAAAUUUGAAAAAAGCAUCUAAAACAAACUUCUAAUUAUGUACAGAUUUUGGUGUUGAUUAUAAUUCCCAGUCCUGCAGAGCAGGGUGUAAUUAUUAUUUUCUCAUCUGUUGACAGAGGAAUAAACUAUUACAAAUGUUGGAUACAUUCCUGUUUAUCAGAAAGGAGAAAUGGAGCGACUCCUCUGUGCAAAUAACAUGAGCCCAUGGAUGUGGUUGUGGGGUACUGAGAUUUGCAAGGAUAGACCUCAUUUAAGACAGUACUCCCAAAUUUUCUGUUAUAGAAUUAGCCCCAUUCACAGCUCCUGCUGUAACUCCCAAAUGGAUCAGUGGAAAUCUUCCAUGAGGAAAUGAAAGCAUCAGCCACGGCUGAGCUGAGAGGGACCCUGGAGAAUCCAACCUACACAGAAGAUUGUAAAGAGGAAUGAAAAUAACAAAAGCAGAAAACUCAGUUUUCAUUAAAAGCUUUUUAGUUCCUUGCCAGAACUUUCUGAUGUCUCGUGAAAGGAAGUUUGUGGCUUUGAGGAUUUUUAUUUGUCUGGAGAAAAUAAUACGAUGAAAAACGUUGGCGAUGUUCCAUGAACAUCUCUGGCUCAUUAAAACCCCUGGUUUUCUCUUGAGGCGUAUCAUUCUGCUUCGAAGAGUACAGAUUUGAAACACGUCUUAAAACCAGGUCUCUAUCUCACAACAUCGAUCAGCUUUCGCCACAACUUUUCAUGCAACGCCAUCCAGAACCUGGGAGCACUGCGUGGUGUUUCUGACAAGGAUUCCUGGCUUCCCAAGGAGAAAAAAUGCAGAAAAUCCUCAUUCUGUCCUGAAUUUUUUAAACAGGAUAGAAAUGUCCACAGCCUGGCAUAACCCAGACAUCACACUUGCAGCAUUUUUACUUCUUUAGAACCAUGUUUGGCACAAAAGUGCAGAUCAAUCUAACUGAAACAAAGGCCUUUCUUAGCUCUGGCUCUUCAGGAGUCCAAGAAUUUUCUCCCCUAGCCAAAUAAUAUCACAAAAUCCACAGAUCUUUGCAUUAUUCAAUGUUUUCCAUCUUCAGACUGCAGUCAUUUAUCUCUGCUAUUCUAACAGGUAUGAUGAGAACCCUCAUCCACUGGAGUGGGAAGCUGAAACACUAAGCUAUGCAUGAAGAUAAUUUAUUGACUUAAAAUAUCUAACAAGGUUACCAGGAUUAGAAUCCACACCUCUUUUUUGCUAUUCACCUCAAAGAGAAAAUUAAGACAAGUUAUUAUUUCUAAAGACAGCAAACUGGGCCACUGCAAAUGUCAUCAAGGAAGCAUUACAGUCAAAUACCUGCUAUUAAGCUGCCAGAAGGAAUUAUUUAGGAUAACUUUUGACUUUUAGGUGGAGUGGAGUGUACUGCUAAACUGGACCUCUGGGAAUUCAGCUAGUGCAUUUUUAGCCCUUUUUACUCAGUGUCAUGAAUAUGUUUGGGGCAUUUUUGGCUAAUUGUACAGGCGGGGGCUCUGACUGAGCCAAGAAACAGCAUCUAGGUCUGAGUGACCACCUUUGUAGUUAGCAGAGAGAGGAGGGCAGCCAAGAAGGACAAGAGAUGCCUCUCUUGGGAAGUGGAUGGAGGAUAGACAGGGCAGAUGAAUUACUCAUCAGGAGCAUCUCUUUCCUCAUUAACUCCAAAAUGAGCCCAGAAUGACUCAUUCAGACUCACACAUCUGCAUCUAGAUGAGAUGAAUCCUGUACACAAGAAGAGGUCUGUUCAAGUCAGAGCGAAGCAGGAUCAAAGCAGAAAGGCAACAGCACCACUGGAUAGCGCACUUCAGUACCACUGGUGACACUGAGCUGCUGCAGGAGCAGAAAGCACGGGCACAGGGGGCAUUUGUGAGUGGUAUAUGCCAGUCUUGCCUCUUGGAAGUGCUUUUUGGUUAGGAUGAUGUGAAGGUCUCUCUCAGCAAAGAGUGUAUAGAUUGGAGAGACAAAACCUGAGCAGCUAUCAGGUUUGAAGCUCCUCCAGGCACAAACAAGCUUUAUUUUAGGUGGGGAGGAGACCUGCAGAAUCCAGGGCAGCAAAGGAGCUCUAGCUCUAGGAAUAAAUAGAACAUGGAGUCAGGAGCAAUGGCAGGUUUGUAGUGAACCUGCAGAAAAACAACAACAACAACAACAAAAAAUAGCAAGAAUUACAGCUUGCAUACAGUUUUGAAAUCAGUUAUUUCUCUUACCAAUAGGAACCAUAUAUAUAUAUAUAUAUAAAAGAACAAGAUGUAUAGCCUGCUUUCCUACCCAUUUGUCUCCUGGGCUGGAGACAUUAACAUGUACUAUGGCCAGCUGAUACAUACUUUUUGGCUAGCUGGCAGACAGAAUAGAUGACCAUUAAAUUUGUUCCAAAGCUUUCUUGGUUUUUUUUCCAGCAGAGAAAAGGUCCCUGAAUGGGGAACUUACAUAGGGGAGACAGGUAGAAAGAGAAUAUUGCAGAAGAGAACAUUGCAAAAGACUUUUUUGAAGUCACCCUUGCCAAAAGGUAAAAUGGGAUGGAGCUUGCCCCCAGGGUAGAAAGAGUCAUCAGAAUGAAAUUGUGCUUGACACUGCAGGAAUAGAAAAAUAGGUCUGGUCUUUGUAAAUGAGUAGGCUGAGGGACAGUAAGUUAAAUGGACAGAGGGCUGACUUACAGGCAGAGCCAAUGGGACAGAUCCUUAGCUCUCAUGACAUUUAUUACUAACCACGGCUGCAAGUGAUGAUGACACUAAUUGGAAAAAGACGGAGCUGCAGUGGGGGAAGGUGUCACCUGUCAACCCAAAGGCACCCUUUGUCAGGCUCAAUGUGGCAGUCAAUGACAUCUUCGAGAAAACAAUCUACCGCAGCGCUCUUACAAACUUUGCAGUCACUGAAAGCGGCUAUCAAACCUGAAGGAGAGUUUUUGCAAGGAGCAGAUUGAGCACAUCUUUCAGUUUCAUUAUGCCCCACCAGCCUUGCAGCCCUCAGCUGCGCUUUGCUCCCAAGAAAUUCCCUUGUAAGAGCUAUUUUUUUAACAUUUAAUCUUCAGAUGGUUCAGAAAUCUUUUCUGAUAACAAAAACCCUCCAAUUGUAGCUUUUAUUCCCAAGAAUAGAGACUUAGCCUUCAGGUGCCUGCAUUGUCUUGACAAAGUUCCCGUCAUAAAAAUCUCUCGUGCAACUUGGGCGCUGAUGGAUUGGAAGCCAUAAAUCUUGCUGUUAUUAGAGCGGCAGUUCUCCACGCUCAUUGCAACAAGUACUCACCAGCCAUAAAUCCUUGUCAUCUUUUUCAUAAGUGCCCAUUUCAAAUGCUUCGGUGAGAUCUGGAUUAUUCUUUAGCUAUUCAGGUGCUUCUUAGAGAAGACAUCAGAGGCAGCUUCAGAAAGAAAAUGAGCCUCCCUGGUGAAGCUUUCAGAGGAGUCCCAACGUCAACACAAAUGCUGUUCCUGAAGCCACAAGAAAUGCAAGUAAAGAGUUUUCUUCCUUAAAAUUUCCACUGUUUUCACUAAACAAAACUGGAGACCAGGCACUGCUUCUUUUCACAUAGAGACAUCCAGGAAUGAUCAAUAAAUAACCAAUUUUGACCAGAUGCAGAGUGAUGCAUAGGUGUAGAAAUGAAAAGGUGAGAUUGCCUUCAGAUCAGGGUAGAAAUAGACUCAGGAAGGAAUUUUGAAACCUUAAAUCAUUCUUUGAACAAAACAAAAUCUCAGCACUCAGACCUUUGUCAAAUCAGUCUUCAACGAAACCCAGAAGCACUCUGCUGAGAUAAAUGGUGAUGGGGACUUUCAUCUUGUGUGUGUGUUCAUGCAGCUGUGAAUGUAUGAACGUGAACAUGUGUAUUCACACUUAGGCUCUCAUGGGUGUAUUCACAGACUAUGAAGUCUGAAACAGUGUCAGAAACCUCAGAGCCAGAGACCUAGAUUCAAGUUCAUGAUGGACUUCUCAAUUGAAAAGUGAUUCUUUGGGCCCAAACAAAGGCAAGGACAGAGGAAGAGUCCCUUCUACAGGGGAAACAAGAAUCCAGCUCUAAGUUAAAGCAAGCUUUUAGAUGACUCAGUUGACAAAUACUGCCGCUUUUGCAGCUGAAGGCACUGUCAACACAUUGCUGUGUUAGAUGAGGACCAAGAACCUACGCCAGCUCCUGGAUGUGUUUGAGUCCUUGUCAAGUAAUUCUGGGACCACAGCUCUGGUAUGCACAUAUCCAUAUUGCAGAUGCAAGCAUAGUAAUCUUGGACAUCUUCAGUAAGAAACUCACUGCAGACACCAGUAGUGUUACACUAUGUACCAGCAGGUCAGGGCUGGUGCAUGGUGAUAAAUAAGGUCAGGAGAAGGACAGAAAUCAGGGAACCACUUUACUUCUGCCUCAAGGACACAAUUACAGGGAAGCAAACCUCCCAACAACUCACCCUGAUAAUUUCAAGUGUAAUUUAAUUGGAAGCAUUAAAGUCUCUAAGCUCAAAGUUAUUUCAGAAAAACAGACACAUACACCUAAAAUAGCCAUUACAAGUAUUUCUUCCUACUCAGCAAGAAAAGGCACCAGGGAUAAUUUAAUGACUCGAGUCAUUAGUUGCAUAUUGACGGCAGGGUAUGACGCCAAGUCCUGAAACUUGGCAAGGAGAUGGAGACCACGUUAUAGUUUAUAUUACUCCUGCAAGAUCAGAAUGUGAAAGCUCCUUGCUAUGAGAGAGGUUUCCUUUUUCCACAGAGAAACCUCUUCAGCUAGUGUAUUCCUUUUUUCUAGGGAGGUAUGCAAGGAGCACAAUGUAUGCAACCUCCUGGUACAAGUCUCAGAGCCUCUUGCACUGUGCAGGGGCAGCUCAGCUCCUGCCCUCCUGCCUCAUGUGCACUCAGAGCAUCUUUUCCUCAUUCCUAAGGCUCUAGACCACAGCACCAAGAGACAGAGCAUGGACCUGCAGCAAGCAACAGUUAUGCCCACAGAACAUAAUACCAUUGAAUGAGAUUUGGUUUCUCUUACUUGUUUGCUGGUGCUUGAACUUUCAGGUCAUUCUUGGGCCUCAGUUCCAGGCUUCCCCUAGCAACCAAGGCAGUGGAAAACUCACUGCUGGAAAAAAGCAAUGUUUCUCACCUGUUCACAAAAACAUUCAGAAAAUCACCAACUGCCAGCUGUCAAUAAAACAUGAGAGCCCACAAGGGGUGGAUUGCCACUGAAUCACCUGAAACACAUUGCUGGAUACUAUUUUUGAUGACCAUGAGUUUCCUCAUGUAUCAAAAGAAAGCCUCUCACCCAAACCAUAUCAAAUCGAUGCCUGAAACACAAACGUAGCCCUCAUUCAUUGAUAAACACAGAUAACCAAGCAGGUGGUAACUGCCGAAGAACAUUCUCUGUUGGUAGCAUAUGUGGAACUGCCUUCGACCCCAGCCAUGUCGAGAAGACAGCAGAUUUUCUCUCCAGAUGGCAAGCUUUACUCAUUCUAAUUACAGAUAUAUUCCCAAACACCUGAAUGCUCUCCACACACACAUUGAGACACCACUUUACAGGCUGAUGACUUGAAGUAAAAUUUACUUCGUUCUUUAACAUUUAUUUUUUUUUAAAUCAAAAUUUCAGCUCGGUUCUCUUGGCUGCCUGCUGUCUUUCUCCAAGCUGCCUUUUGCAGUCAGCUCGUUGUGUGGGUCUCCUUGGCUGCAGCACAGGGCAGCUCUGGCAUAAGAACUUUUCGAAGGAGGAAAACAAACUUUAAAAUUAAUCUUGGGAUUAAUUAGGAGGGAAAUAGAAGCGUAGAGUUUCAAACUGCCUUACUUCUUAAUUAAGGACUGCUCACUUCACAGCUUCGUGAUCCUGAAGCAGUAAAGAAGAUGGGGCCAGGUAUUUAGUGGUACGGGUCGAUACAUCCCCACUGACUUUGCAAAGUCAAUUUAUGCCUCUUCUACCCAAGAUGACAUACUCAGAAAUCAGUAAUGAGACUCUCCAUGACUUCCACGGAACUGUGGGUCAGGCCAAUAAAAAUGAUCCAUGCUUACUAAUUUUUAAGCUUUUUGGCUGGUCAUCAAGAGGUUUCCCUCUCGUCCCUCCCUCUUCCCUGUUCAAAGUCCACUGAGACAAAUUCUACAUUUUCUCAGCAUUGUACUCUUCAGAACAACACUUCCUUUUAAUUUAUUCCACAGUUUGACAAUUGGAUGAGCCAAUAUAAAGCUUUGUUUCUCUGACAAAUAACUGCUUUACUCAAUUCACAGGAAGAGCCCAAAAAAGUGUUGUGAAAAACCAGCGGUCAUCUCAGGCCACAUGGUGUCCAAUAGAGAUACGUAGAAGAGAAGAGAACCUUCCCCAUUCAAAAGGAUGCUGGAGAUGUCAUGGAUACUUUUUCUCCCUUUUAUACUAUGGCAAAUAAACUUUGGAAUCUUAACAAGUGUUCCGAAGCCAGUCACCCCAAACAUCAUCCAGGACACCGUGCCUCAGGCUGUGAAUUCAAAACUACGAGUUCUGCAUAAGUUAUUGGCUGUGGGUUUAAACCGAGGUGAUUUUUACUUUUUAUCAGGACGGUGAUGAUUUCAUUACAUCUCUAACUGUGCUCUUUGUUGCCUUUUCCAGAGGUGGUGACAAGUGCAAUUCAUCAGCCACAGUUCCCAACCGUGCUGACAGCUCUGAAGAUGACAGACACAAAAAGACAAUACCCAAAGUGUAUCCAAAUGAGAUAAAAAAUCAAAGAUUUUUGUCAUGUCCCUGUACACGCACGUACCCCUCCGCAUGUCUAAUGCCAGGCAUUACUUUGUGGUGACUUGAAAUCCAGCAGCAAUAUUAUUGACUGAACAUAUGCCAGAAGAUCAUUUUGCAAACGUCAAUGGGCUUGGAAGAGAAAAUGAAAAAUUCAUCUAGAGAAGGAGACAAAUGAGCUUAACUCGUUUCUUCUCCCCGAGUUAACAAGUGUUUAAAGGAUUUUAUUCACCAUUGCCAGUGUUAAAUCUCUGCAAUGGGCUGUAAUGCAAACGUACCUUCCCUGUAAAGCCAUUUUACAAUGAUGGACCUGUUCAGGAGCGUAGUGAAAUAUUUGGCCAGCGUGUGGUCGAGCACAGAACUCAAAACAAUGUUCAUGCAUGAAGUGGUUGAGGUGAAAACAAAGUGGGAGUGUGGAAGCUACUGAAACAGAGCAUUUGCAACAUCUCUUUUAAAGGCAAAUAUUUCAUUUUGGACUUUAAAGGACUUUCCUGUGAAGCAUUUUGGAAAUAUAAUUUCAGUCUGAGAUAGAAGUGCUUUGGAAUAUGAACCAAAUCCUUCCAUAUCUCUCUUCAUUUCAGCUUGAAAUCGAAAGCUUCACAGUGAUUUAAAUGAAAAAGCUUUUUCGUGGAUGAAGAGAAAUUUCAUUUCAUGAGGAAUGUUGACUUCCACGUUUUCUGGUCUGCUCUGAGUGGGAAAAAAUAACUCAAAAUCUCUAAAAAAAUAUUGACAAGAAACUGUUUCUACAUCCAGCAAGGAUCUUGGGUGCAACACAUUUAUGCUUAAUAAUUGGUCACAUAGGGCCAAUGGGUUUUGCCUUUUUAGGGCAGUUCCACUUUAUGUAUCUGGCCUCCCAGACCAGUGAUAGCUUGACUAUAAUAUCUCUUUUCCCCUCAAUAUAUGACUCCUGUGCUUCAUUAAAGCAGAAAACUGCAUUAUUAGGGUCAAGUACAGCACAGUGCAUUAUCCAUCCCUGCCCUGCUAUUGCCUUCAUGAUGCUAAAGGGUGACAGCAAAAAUGGAUUGGGCUUGCAGUGAAUUCAAAGCAGUAAAGAUGUUGCUGAUUUUAGGGCUGAUGGUAUUUUCCAUUACAGCCUGAACGGAUUUCCUGGCCUGCUUGGAAAAGCAGCACUAUUAGCUACGGCCCACAAACAGCACAAGUGUGAGAAAUGCUCCAUCUGAUUCUAGAAGAAAUAAGAAUUUUCUGUAUUAUCCCCAUUGCAGUUUGCCUGCAGGCGACUUAUUUACAUCUGAGCUUCACCUGAAGCAUUUCGAGUAACUUGGAAACUACCUAACCUUGACAAAUGCUGCCAGUCCAAUCCCCCAUCGUUGAUCCUGCCUCAUAGCUGUUCUUAAGAAGUCCUGGAGCACUGUGCACAUCUGUUCAUGGAUUGUCUGCCUUUGAUUUUCAGAAAGACCCCCUGUUAUGGUGGUUUGACCAGGGGAAAGUAGAAGCUCUGGUCUUAAAAUUGUUGGUUAGCUAAUGGAUGGAUGAGCUAACGGAAGGGUUUCAAGGCACCCAGGCUGGUGGUUUGCUAUUUAUGAGCUCCCUGGUGCUAAUGAAGAUACAAGGACUCCCAAAAGCACAAGGAUAGUCUGUAGUACCCUCAUCUCUCCAACACAGGAGAAACACCAAAGACUGUUGGCUCUUCGCAACCUUCAGUUUAUUGUUCUGGCAACAGAGAGGCAAAUAUUUCUACCACUCUUAUCAAUAACAAAAUGUUGGC